rnacentral:RNase_P_RNA from 1 species
AGUGCAAACCGUUCCAUCGCUGUUUGAAAUAGAACAGAGGAAAGUCCGGGCAGCGCAGAGUGCCGCACUACCUAACGGGUAGGUCUCCGGAAAGAAAUUUUCGGGGAACAGAAAGUGCCACAGAAAACUAUACCGUCGUAAUGGCAACAUUUCGAUAAGGGUGAAAACGUGAGGUAAGAGCUCACGGAUUGUAUGGCGACAUGCAAUCGGGUAAACCUUGCGGGCUGAAAGGCCAUGUAGGUCACGCAUACCGGUUUGUCCGGUAGGAAAGUUACUCGCUUUCCGUUCCUUCGGGAUAGGCGUGAUGGGUAGGCUGCUUGAACCUGUUUGUGAAAACAGGUCCAGAUCAAUGAUGGAAAUCCGAUUUAUCGGAUACAGAACCCGGCUUACAGGUUUGUAUUUUUU